UUGAUGGAGACAUCCAUCCUAUUUAGCACUGAGUGCUCCAAGGGCUCUUACGCUGCAUAACCUGCAUAAUGUCUGACUGCGGAUCUCUCUACUCAUUCCCAUCUGCUGCAGGAGGAAGUGUCUCUGUCAGUGGUUGAGCAAGACACUGGUCUCCUCUACAAACACAUUGAUGCUGAUGCUGGGUAGAUUUUCUGACAAGCCUAUGAAGGAAUCAGGACAUCAGUGCCUCCAGCUCACUGCUCUGAUCCUUGAGGAAGCAAGGUGGAUCCGAAGCUCAUACUCGAACAAGAAACAGAAAUGACAGGAACAAGCCAGGCUUGUGGAAACUGCCAUGACUAUCAACUCGAUGGAGACAGAUCUCUGGUGAGGGAUUUCAGAUGGACUGAGGUGGCAUCAUUCCACCAGAUGGGGCCUUGGACUGAAUACAAAGGAGAAAGCCUGCUGAACAGCAUCUUUCCCUCUGCUUUCUGGCUGCAGAUGUGACACGAGAAAAGUGAGCAGCUGACACAUGCUCU